rnacentral:rRNA from 1 species
GAUGAACGCUGGCGGCGUGCUUAACACAUGCAAGUCGAACGGAAAGGCCCAGGCUUUGUGGGGUGCUCGAGUGGCGAACGGGUGAGUAACACGUGAGUAAUCUGCCCUUGACUUUGGGAUAACUUCGGGAAACUGGGGCUAAUACCGGAUAGGAGCUUCUGCUGCAUGGUGGUGGGGGGAGAGUUUUGGGGGUUGGGGUAGGUCUCGCGGCUUAUCAGCUUGUUGGUGGGGUAGGGGCUUACAAAGGCCUUGGCGGUUCGCGGGCCUGAGGGGGUUACGGGCCCAAUGGGGACGGGAUUACGGCCAGACUCCCACCGGGGGGAGGAGGGGGGGAAAAUGGCCCAUUGGGGCGAGGCCUAUGGCAGCAAGGCCGCGGGCGGAAUGACGGCCUUCGGUUUUAAAACCGCUUUCGUAUGUGACGAGGGGUAAGUGACGGUAAUUGGAGAAGAAGCACCGGCUAACUACGUG